UACGGGGGGGGGCAAGCGUUGUUCGGAAUUACUGGGCGUAAAGGGCUCGUAGGUGGCCAAUUAAGUCAGACGUGAAAUCCCCAGGCUCAACCUGGGAACUGCGUCUGAUACUGGUUGGCUUGAAUUCGGGAGAGGGAUGUGGAAUUCCAGGUGUAGCGGUGAAAUGCGUAGAUAUCUGGAGGAACACCGGUGGCGAAGGCGGCAUCCUGGACCGGCAUUGACGCUGAGGCGCGAAAGCCAGGGGAGCAAACGGG
rnacentral:rRNA from 1 species